GGGGAAUUAGCUCAGCUCGGGAGAGCGUUACAAUGGCAUUGUAACGGUCACGGGUUCGAGCCCCGUAUUCUCCAUCA
rnacentral:tRNA from 1 species